CGGGGGGGGCAAGCGUUGUUCGGAAUUACUGGGCGUAAAGGGCUCGUAGGUGGCCAACUGAGUCAACCGUGAAAUCCCUCGGCUUAACCGGGGAACUGCGUUUGAUACUGGAUGGCUUGAGUUUGGGAGAGGGAUGCGGAAUUCCAGGUGUAGCGGUGAAAUGCGUAGAUAUCUGGAGGAACACCGGUGGCGAAGGCGGCAUCCUGGACCAAUACUGACGCUGAGGAGCGAAAGCUAGGGGAGCAAACGGGAUUAGAUACCCCGGUAGUCCUAGCCCUAAACGAUGAAUGCUUGGUGUGGCGGUAUCGAUCCCUGCCGUGCCGAAGCUAACGCAUUAAGCAUUCCGCUGGGGAUACGGUCGCAAGGCUG
rnacentral:rRNA from 1 species